AAACACUUUCAUGGUUACAAUAAUACUGAAGUCUUAAAUGAAGACAAUAAAUAGCUUCCUGCUUAAAAUGAAACUGGUGGGCACUGUGACUGGGCAGAGCAGCAGGACUGGGGACAGCAGCCUUUGUGAACCUUGAUAGAAACAGUUUUAAUCUGGGGGGAGACCCUUUGCAGGGAUGAACUCCAGCUCCUCCUCAACCUAAGCCAUGAUAGGGUCUGAAUGCAACAGCUACAGCCUGCAGUUCUGCUGAGAAGGGCUGACUGAUGAAGGGGUGAACCAGGUGCUGCUGAAGACCAGCUCUGCAGAACUUACAUAUCUCUCUUGCCAUCAAGAUUGCCUGUGGGCAAGAGACUCUGUCUUGCCUGUCCUUGGCAAUGCUUCACACACAUCAGGAAUACACCUGCACUGCCAAGACACGCAGCCAUGGCCACAGUACAACCCAGAACUGGACACAGGGUGGAGAAUGCCCAUGGUAUAAAGCAGUGCUCUCCUUGACUGGUACGCAUGUUGCCAGUUGAAUCCGGAGAGAAUCUGCUGUGCU